rnacentral:siRNA from 1 species
CGACCAAAUCAACUCACCGU